rnacentral:lncRNA from 10 species
ACAGCAGGAAUCCCGAGUAAGACACCACCUUGACGGCAGGGAAGGCUGGAUCUUUUCACAGGGCAGAACUGAUUUGAUGAGGUGAACAGUAAGGGUAACAUGUGACAACUGGCAGAAGACAUUUCAAAUUGCUGACAAGUAUUCUAUCAUUCUCCUCUCUGACAAUGGUCAUACAAACUACCUGAGAGUCAUUUUUGACUUCUCUAUUUCCCACUUUUUGACAUGG